rnacentral:rRNA from 1 species
AGAGUUUGAUCAUGGCUCAGGACGAACGCUGGCGGCGUGCCUAAUACAUGCAAGUCGAGCGAAUCUUUGGGAGCAUGCUCCCAUUGGUUAGCGGCGGACGGGUGAGUAACACGUGGGCAACCUGCCUGUAAGACUGGGAUAACUUCGGGAAACCGGAGCUAAUACCGGAUAAUCCAUUUCCUCUCAUGAGGAAAUGCUGA